AGUAUUAUUUUUUAUAAACGAUAACAGAAGUAAGAUAACAGGGUCAUUUUUCAUUGAAACGACCCAUGAGCCUAAACUCGCUCGUAAAUGACUCAUAUAUGUUUCGAAGAAGCCAUCGAGAUUCAUAAAGUCACCGUUUCUCCUACUUCUAUACUUUGUGUAUACAUAUAUGUAUACACACUUCGUAUAUAGUUUGAACAGAACGAACGAAGGAAGGUAGUCGAGGUCGAACUCUCGAGAAGAUAUCUUAGCGACGGAAUCUGUGCGUAGUUUAUAUUUCGUUAGCGAAUAAUAAGCCCAUUUAAUUCCAAGAAACAACGAAGAUGUCGAAGUUCAUGCUGCUCGUUUUUGUAACUCUUCUUGCUAGCACACUUAUCGUGGCUGCUCCCGAUAACUCACGCUGCGGUCGGCACGGUGACCCCUGUGUGGUUGAUCGUGAAUGCUGUCAAAGCAUAAGAUGCAACGCACAGGCGCAUAGAUGCCAAGUCAUUAUCACCGCCGAGGAAUUAAUGGCUCAGAGAGAACGAAUUUUGGGCAAGAAAGGAAAAUCUUACUGAUCAACUAUUAUCUCUUUCUUGAUCGUACAAUCAUGGCAAUAAAUAAGAUAAAUAAUUUUUCAUUUAUAUAAAGAUAAUCAUUGAAAUUAUAUGGAGUUAUGGCAUAAUGAAAAUGUCAUCUUUAAUUAUAAUUAAAAAAAAAAAAAAAGUCAUCUUUAAUUAUAACAAAAUGAAAAUAUUUAGAAUGUAUAAAUUGAAUAAUAAAUAUUAUAAAUCGUAAGUA